UGGGCGACGCCACCUGCACCUGGGGGCGCCCCGUGCCUGAGGCGUGCCUUUGACGGCACGGGGCGCGCCUUUGACAACAGUGCCAUUAAGUCUUUGCAUGUUAUAUCAUUUGAUAUUCGGCAUACCGAGCUAUGCAUCCAAUCAUUAGAUAUUUCAAUGUUAGUUUAAUUAACCUGUAUGUUCAAAUACUUGAUAAGUUCAUGAUUGAAUUGUGCAUUGGAAAAAGAGAGAAUAUUAUGCAACAUUCAAAAUCCUCUGCAUACUUUUCUUACCACAAAAAGUUUCUGGAAGUUCAGUAAUAACUUGGGUUUCUAGCCUUCUCUGAAAUACUUCUUGGUAUUGUCAUUGGAUCUUCAACAAACUCUUCAGUCAGAGACCCUUCUUCAUGGUCCAUUAUUGUAACCUUAUUUUCUUUUGCCACAAUUUCAAUUUCUUAAUGAGCUCCAAUGACACUGGCGUACCUGAAAACCAGGCUCUAUCUAUUUGAAAAGGAAGCUUGGAGCCUCUCUGUCAUCUUCUCUAACCAAGCAUUUGUAAGCAGUAACUGGAGUCAGCUGGUCAGAGAAUAUGCAAUAGUGAAGUGGAAUUAAAUUUCCAUUCUUAGCAGCUUCUACGAACCUUGCUCCAUCAUCUUCUUUAACCAUCUUCUUUAACCAAGAAUCGGUAAACAGUAACCGGAGUUAGCUGUUCAGAGAAUAUGCAAUAGUGAGGUAGUACUAAAUUUCCAUGCUUGGCAGCGUCUGCGAAACUUGCUCCCUCAGCAGCUAAAGAAAACCAAAUCAGAAUAAAAAUCAAAUUUCUAAAUAAGGGUCCUAAGUGUAACAUACAAAUCCUUGAAAUUAAAUACUAGAUCACUUUAACCCAAAAGGGGCUAAAAGCAGUAUUCAAAUGAUUCUAUUUAACCAUUUAAUUUGUUAAAUUAAUUUUUCAAAUAAGUUAAAAUUGCAUUAGAAAAAAAUCUUUAUACACCACUACAUUUUUUUACUGAUGAAAUUAAAGAGAAUAAAAAUCACAUAAAAUUUUUCUAAUUAACCAACUGAAAUUCACAAUAAAUGAACUAAAAUUUAAAUUUAGCAUUAGCUGAAUCUUUCGUUAGCUAUGGAAAAAUCAGAAGAUCAUUCACAAAGCCAAGUUAAAUAAUUUAAAUUUCGACCAAGAAUGUCAAAGAACAUAAAUUUCAAAAACUAGUAAAUCACCAUUGAGUUAAGCAUUUCCCUCUUUUCUGCAAAUCAUUAACAUUAAAGCACGUGCUCUAUUCCAACACAAAUUUUCUCUUCUCUUUUGCAUUUUCCGUAUCUUUUUUUGUGUUUUCUCAGCAACCAAACUGAAGCUAACAAAUUUUUUUACUGAAAAGAAUUCAAAUUAGAGCCAAAACAAAAAGAACAACAUUUUAAAUUUCUCAAUAAAUGCAGCUAAAACCAGUAAACAACUGUCCAAGAAAACAUUUUUCCUUUUCAAUUAGAAGAGUAACAUCAAAACACAUGCAAACAAUUCAAAAUCAAAAACUUUCCCAUUCUUUUCUCUCUCACAUUUUCUCGGCAACCAAGAAGAACUAACCUAAGGAAGGGUCCUAGAGUGAAAUGCACUUGAGCAGAUGGACAGAAGUGAGGGAGCUUGGACUCGGAGGCAGUCUUCUGGUGGAAAUGACAGUGGAGGUGGUGGCAGGAAGAGGAGAGAGGCGGUGAGAGAAGGAGGCUAGGGAUUGCAUUGUCGAAGCAUCCGGUGAAACAGUGGGAUUCCCGAUGUCUCAAAGACCCUCCUCCUCUGCAGAAUUUUGCCAUGCUCUAUUUGUUUUCCCCAAACUUUUAAUCCUCACAUUGAUGUAAAACCCCAAAGGCCAAAAGCAGAAAAUGAGAGAUGCCCAGCACAGCUCACACGCAUCCCUUUCAUUGCCAAUGUUUGAGCUGCACUCAUUGACAGCAAAUUGAACUACCUCUCCAUUUUAUUUGUUGUUCCCUGCACACAGCUUUAUUGGUCAGUUAGAAGGACCUGCAAUUCCCUCGCCUCUGUAGUUGGCUUGCAUGACUUGCAUGACUCUGUUUAUAUCUGUUCCAUCAAGCUUUAUGUUAACACCAUCUACUUCGAUCAUCUCCAACUUUGGUGUGCUCAAGUCUCCUUCAGAAUCCACAACAGCAGCAAACAUUUGCAUUUUGGGACAACGAACCACCUUUACCUUUUCCAAGGAUGGCCAUUUG
rnacentral:misc_RNA from 1 species